CCUACGGGAGGCAGCAGUAGGGAAUCUUCCACAAUGGGCGAAAGCCUGAUGGAGCAACGCCGCGUGAGUGAAGAAGGAUUUCGGUUCGUAAAACUCUGUUGUAAGGGAAGAACAAGUACAGUAGGAACUGGCUGUACCUUGACAUUACCUUAUUAGAAAGCCACGGCUAACUACGUGCCAGCAGCCGCGGUAAUACGUAGGUGGCAAGCGUUGUCCGGAAUUAUUGGGCGUAAAGCGGGCGCAGGUGGUGUUUUAAGUCUGGUGUGAAAGGCGACGGCUCAACCGGGGAGGGUUAUGGGAAAAGGGGGGAUUGGGGGGCAGAAGAGGGUAGUGGAAGUCCAAGGGUAGCGGGGAAAUGCGUAGAGAGUGGGAGGAA
rnacentral:rRNA from 1 species